UUUGAAUCGAAAAUCCAAAAUGGGGUAGCAAAUCCAUCAAUUAUCCGAAUCCAUUUAUCAAUUUGAAUUGAGCAAUUCCAUUUAUUAAAUGUUUUCUCUCUCACACUGUCUCUCUCACACACACACAGACACAAACUGUAAUUAGACACAGUCUCACACUCUCAACAUUGCCAUUCAUCCAAACAAAAGAGGAAAAGCUGUGCGUAAUGGAGAUGAGGCUAUUCCAAAUCGGGUCGUAGAGCAGGAAAGCGUUGAGGAGCUUGGAGGCUCUGUCCUCUCUGGAGCUAGAGGUUUAGGAGGCAAUUCAACUUCUCCCAAGUGAAGGCAGCGACUUCUCCACUCCGGUGAGGCUUCACACAAAUGACAAUGCAAAGAGAAAGUGUUAGUGCUUCUGGUUUGUUUGGCUUAUGUAUGGAUGCCAAGAAAAUGCGGUAUUUUCUUAGUGGUUGGGGCUUAAUUUUUUGUUGAGUUUCUUUUUGCAAGAGUUUGUUUCCAAAGAAAGUGCAAAGAGAAAGUGUAAAAGAGAAGAAAAUUGAGAUUGAAAGUAUUGUGUA